rnacentral:rRNA from 1 species
AGUGUAUAUUGCGCAAUUGGCGGAAGCCUGACGCAGCGACGCCGCGUGAGGGAUGAAGGUUUUCGGAUCGUAAACCUCUGUCAGAAGGGAAGAAACCGCACCGUGCUAAUCAGCCGUGCCUUGACGGUACCAUCACAGGGAGCACCGGCUACCCCCCUGCCAGCAGCCGCGGUAAUACGGAGGGUGCAAGCGUUAAUGGAAUUACUGGGCGUAAAGCGCACGUAGGCUGCUUUGUAAGUCAGGGGUGAAAUCCCACGGCUCAACCGUGGAACUGCCGUGGAUACUGCUUAGCUUGAAUCCGGGAGAGGGUGGCGGAAUUCCAGGUGUAGGAGUGAAAUCCGUAGAUAUCUGGAGGAACAUCAGUGGCGAAGGCGGCCACCUGGACCGGUAUUGACGCUGAGGUGCGAAAGCGUGGGGAGCAAACA